CACCUCCCUUUCCCUUUCCCAUCAGAUCUGAAUACCGGUCUCAUGGUCAAAAAGGAGGAAAAGUAAAAUGGAAGCUGGUCUUGCCCUCUCUGCUGGGACAGUCCUGCAGUGAAUGAGGCUGGCUUCAGACAGUU